UUAACUUAUUAUAGAGUACUCGGACAACAAAUUACAGUGAGUUUAGGGUCCUCUGGCAGGCACACACCAGCAUAGCCGGUAGCCCUAAGACAGGCCUGCCAAAGCAACUGAAGUAUUGUAAACAAAGGGUGGGAGACAUACUCUGAAGAGAGUAUAUUAUCUCUGUAAUGAUCCUUCCGCAGCGGAAGUAUAGCUGCUACUGAUAGCAACCCCCCGAUCAACUCUCAACCCCAAAGGGCCACCUCCAUUUGAUCUGUGAGCCUAUUUCUGGGCUGCUGGUAUUACCACAGUAAAUUCCAGCACAGUAGAGAUGUUGCCUGCUCACAGACUUUCUGUUUUGGCGAACCUGCAAUGAUGUUCACCUACGGAAA
rnacentral:misc_RNA from 1 species